GUCUCUGUGGUCUAGUGGUUAAGGCACCGGCGUUAAAAGCUGGGAGCCCGGGUUCGAUUCCCGGCAGGGACA
rnacentral:tRNA from 1 species